GAUUCGCCAUGCAUGUCUAAGUACAUGCCGUAUUAAGGCGAAACCGCGAAUGGCUCAUUAAAUCAGUCAUGGUUCCUUGGAUCGUACCUUACUACUUGGAUAACUGUGGCAAUUCUAGAGCUAAUACAUGCAGCAGAGCUCCGACCUUCGGGGACGAGCGCUUUUAUUAGACCAAAACCAAUCGGACCUCGUGUCCGUCCUUUGUGGUGACUCUGUAUAACUUUGGGCUGAUCGCACGGGCCUGUCCCGGCGACGUAUCUUUCAAGUGUCUGCCUUAUCAACUUUCGAUGGUAGGUUACGCGCCUACCAUGGUCGUAACGGGUAACGGGGAAUCAGGGUUCGAUUCCGGAGAGGGAGCCUGAGAAACGGCUACCACAUCCAAGGAAGGCAGCAGGCGCGCAAAUUACCCACUCCCAGAACGGGGAGGUAGUGACGAAAAAUAACAAUACGGGACUCUUUUGAGACCCCGUAAUUGGAAUGAGUACACUCUAAAUCCUUUAACGAGGAUCCAUUGGAGGGUAAGUCUGGUGCCAGCAACCGCGGUAAUUCCAGCUCCAAUAGCGUAUAUUAAAGUUGUUGCGGUUAAAAAGCUCGUAGUUGGAUCUCAGUUCCAGACGGGUGGUCCGCCUACCGGUGGUUACUGCCUGUUCUGAACAGUCAGCCGGUUUCUCUUGAUGAUCUUCACCGGUUGUCUUGGGUGACCGGCAAGUUUACUUUGAAAAAAUUAGAGUGCUCAAGCAGGCGUGACGCCUGAAUAAUGGUGCAUGGAAUAAUGGAAUAGGACCUCGGUUCUAUUUUGUUGGUUUUCGGAACACGAGGUAAUGAUUAAGAGGGACAGACGGGGGCAUUCGUAUUGCGACGCUAGAGGUGAAAUUCUUGGACCGUCGCAAGACGAACUACUGCGAAAGCAUUUGCCAAGAAUGUUUCCAUUAAUCAAGAACGAAAGUUAGAGGUUCGAAGGCGAUCAGAUACCGCCCUAGUUCUAACCAUAAACGAUGCCAGCCAGCGAUCCGGCUGUGU
rnacentral:rRNA from 1 species